rnacentral:rRNA from 1 species
CCCUGCCUUUUGUACACACCGCCCGUCGCUCCUACCGAUUUCGAGUGAUCCGGUGAACCUUUUGGACUGCUGUUGUCUUCAAGGCGAUAGCGGGAAGUUAAGUAAACCUUAUCACUUAGAGGAAGGAAAAGUCGUAACAAGGUUUCCGUA